rnacentral:rRNA from 1 species
UGGGGAAUCUUGCGCAAUGGUCGAGAGACUGACGCAGCGACGCCGCGUGUGGGAGGACGCCUUUCGGGGUGUAAACCACUGUUGCCCGGGACGAACACCUUCAUUCGUGAAGGCUGACGGUACCGGGUGAGGAAGCACCGGCUAACUCCGUGCCAGCAGCCGCGGUAAUACGGAGGGUGCGAGCGUUGUCCGGAAUCAUUGGGCGUAAAGGGCGCGUAGGUGGCCCGGUCAGUCCGUGGUGAAAGCGCGGGGCUCAACCCCGCGUCGGCCAGGGAUACUGCCGCGGCUGGAGCACUGUAGAGGCAGGCGGAAUUCCGGGUGUAGCGGUGGAAUGCGUAGAGAUCCGGAAGAACACCGGUGGCGAAGGCGGCCUGCUGGGCAGUGGCUGACACUGAGGCGCGACAGCGUGGGGAGCAAACAGGAUUAGAUACCCUGGUAGUCCACGCCGUAAACGAUGGGCACUAGGCGCUUGGGGGAGCGACCCCCCGAGGGCCGGCGCUAACGCAUUAAGUGCCCCGCCUGGGGAGUACGGCCGCAAGGCUGA